rnacentral:rRNA from 1 species
CAGUCGCCGCGGGAAUACGAACCGUGCGAACGUUAUUCGGAAUUACUGGGCUUAAAGCGCGUGUAGGCGGGUCGGCACGUCGGUCGCUGAAAUCCCCCGGCUCAACCGGGGAAGUGGCGCCGAUACGGCCGGCCUGGAGGGGGGUAGGGGGGUCUGGAACUUCCGGUGGAGCGGUGAAAUGCGUUGAGAUCGGAAGGAACGCCCGUGGCGAAAGCGAGACCCUGGACCCUUACUGACGCUGAGACGCGAAAGCCAGGGGAGCGAACGGGAUUAGAUACCCCUGUAGUCCCUGUCUCUUAUA